rnacentral:rRNA from 1 species
UUAAAUGUAAAUAUUAAAGUAUUAAAGUAUUAAAUGAUAUAUCAUUAAAUUUAAAAGAUUUGGCGGUAUUUUAUUCAAAUUAGAGGAACUUGUAAUGUAAUUGAUGGUCCACGAAAGGAGAUACUUUAUUAUAAAUUUAUGUAUUGUUGUUUUCAGAUAUGUCAAUAAAGAUUUAUUAAAAUUUUUUAUUUUAUUUGAAAAAUAAUUCAAAUCAAAGUGUAGUACAAUAAAGAAUAUAUGAGUUACAUUAAAAAAACUAAUUAAUUGAAUUUUUAAUUUUAAUAUUAAAAUGAAAUUGGAUUUAAGAGUAAAUUUAAUAAAUUAAUUAAAUUGAUAUUUGUUUUAAAAUAUGU